GUGUCAGCCGCCGCGGUAAUACGAAGGGGGCUAGCGUUGCUCGGAAUCACUGGGCGUAAAGGGCGCGUAGGCGGCGUUUUAAGUCGGGGGUGAAAGCCUGUGGCUCAACCACAGAAUGGCCUUCGAUACUGGGACGCUUGAGUAUGGUAGAGGUUGGUGGAACUGCGAGUGUAGAGGUGAAAUUCGUAGAUAUUCGCAAGAACACCGGUGGCGAAGGCGGCCAACUGGACCAUUACUGACGCUGAGGCGCGAAAGCGUGGGGAGCAAACAGGAUUAGAUACCCCGGUAGUCC
rnacentral:rRNA from 1 species